rnacentral:lncRNA from 1 species
CGAAUAUCUUCCCUUACAAGGGUUAUAUAUGGAAUUAUGGUACCCUCCCUCAACUUGGGAAGAUCCCCAUGAAAAAGAUAAGAGCACGAACUGCUUUGGAGAUAAUGAUCCUAUUGAUGUUUGCGAAAUAGGCUCAAAAUUCUUUCUUGUGGAGAAGUUAUUCAUGUGAAGAUCCUUGGAAUUUUGGCUCUUAUUGAUGAAGGUGAAACAGAUUGGAAAUUAAUUGCUAUCAAUGCGAAUGAUCCUGAAGCCUCAAAGUUUCAUAUAUUGAUGAUGUUAAGAAGUUCAAACCGGGUUACCUGGAAGCUACUCUUAAUUGGUUUAGAUUAUAUAAGGUAC